rnacentral:lncRNA from 1 species
CAUGUUAUUAUUAUGGUAAGUUUGGACAUAAAGUAUAUCUAUGUGACUUUAAAAAAUUAAGUAACAAUAAAGUUAAAAGGAUUUGGCUUCCAAAAGAAACUAUUGUAACUAGCCUAAAGAAUCCAAAGAAGCUUGGAUACCUAAAAUUAUAAUUUAGUCUCUUUUUGUAAGUGUAUCUUGCAACCAAAAGAGAAAAAAAGAGAUGG